UGAUUUUCCUCAACUUCAGUAACCACAGGUUCACCUUUUACUGUUUCUGUAGGCUCAACUUCAGUAGCCACAGGUUCUUCUUUUACCGUUUCUGUAGCUUGAACUUCAGUAGCCACAGGUUCUUCUUUUACCAUUUCUCUAGGAUCAACUUCAGUAACCACAGGUUUGACUUUUACUGAUUCUGUCAGAUCAACUUCAGUAACCAGGGGUUCUUUUACUGUUUUUGUAAUUUCAACUUCUGUAGCCACAGCUUCUUCUUUUACUGUCUCUGUAGGAUCAACUUCAGUAACUAUAGGUUCGUCUUUUACCGUUUCUGUUGCCUCGAAUUCAGUAGCUGCAGGUUCAUCUUUUACCAUUUCUGUAGGCUCAACUACAGUUGUCACAGGUUCUUCUUUUACGGUUUCUGUAGCUUCAACUUCAGUAGCCACAGAUUCUUCUUUUACUGUUUCUGUAGCUUCAACUUCAGUAGCCACUGGUUCUUCUUUUACUGUUUCUGUAGCUUCAACUUCAGUAGCCACUGGUUCUUCUUUUACUGUUUCUGUAGCUUCAACUUCAGUAGCUGCAGGUUCGUCUUUUACCGUUUCUGUAGCCUCAACUUCAGUUGCCACAGGUUCUUCUUUUACCGUUUCUGUAGGCUCAACUUCAGUAGCCACGGGUUCUUCUUUUACUGUUUCUGUAGCUUCAGCUUCAGUAGCUAGAGGUUCUUCUUUUACCGUUUCUGUAGGAUCAACUUCAGUAACCACAG
rnacentral:lncRNA from 1 species